GAUGAAGAACGUAGUGAAAUGCGAUAAGUAAUGUGAAUUGCAGAAUUCAGUGAAUCAUCGAAUCUUUGAACGCACCUUGCGCCCUUUGGCCAUUCCGAAGGGCAUGCCUGUUUGAGUAUCAUGAACACCUCAACUCUCAUGGCUCGCCAUGAUGAGCUUGGACUUUGGGGGUCUUGCUGGCCUGUGGUCGGCUCCUCUCAAAUGGAUCAGCUUGCCAGUGUUUGGUGGCAUCUCAGGUGUGAUAACUAUCGGCGCUUGUGGUUUUCCAUCAGAUAACCUUCAGUGAUGGAGGUUCGCUGGAGCUCAUAAACGUCUCCCCUAAGCGGGGACAGCCCUUUGAAUGUUUGAUCUCAAAUCAGGUAGGACUACCCGCUGAACUUAAGCAUAUCAAUAAGCGGAGGA
rnacentral:misc_RNA from 1 species